ensembl:lncRNA
CAUCAAAUUUUGGGAUUUGGGAUUUUGGGGUAUUGGAAAUUUGGGAUUUGGGCAUUUGGGAUUUGGGAUUUGGGAUUUGGGAUUUGGGAUUGGGAUUUGGGGUUUGGAUUUGGGAUUUGGGAUUUUGGAAUUUGGGAAUUUGGGAUUUGGGGAUUUGGGGUUUGGGGAUUUGGGAUUGGGAUUUGGGGUUUGGAUUUGGGAUUUGGGAUUUGGAGUUUGGGAUUUGGGGAUUUGGGGUUUGGAAUUUAGGAAUUUGGGAUUUGGGAUUGGGAUUUUGGGAUUUGGGGGUUUGGGAUUUGGGGUUUGGGAUUUGGGCAUUUGGGAUUUGGGGAUUUGGGAUUGGGAUUUGGGAUUUGGAAUUUGGGGUUUGGGGUUUGGGAUUUGGGGAUUUGGGAUCUGGGAGUUGGGGUUUGGGAUUGAGGAUUUGGGAUUGUUCCCGAGUGCCAGCCGGGAUUCUGGCCCGGAGACGGCGGGGACUGCCUCGGUGAGGGAGUUGGGAUUGGGGUUUGGGGUUUGGGAUUUGGGAUUUGGGGUUUGGGAGUUGGGAUUGGGGAUUGGGAUUUGGGAUAUGGGAUUGGGAUGUGGGGUUUGGGAUAUGGGAUUUGGGAUUGUUCCCAAGUGCCAGCCAGGAUUCCGGCCUGGGGACAGCAGGGACUGCCUCGGUGAGGGAUUUGGGAUUGGGGUUUGGGAUUUGGGAUCAGGAUGAGGAUAUGGGGUAUGGGGACUGGGAUGGGAAUGUGGAGACUGGGAUGGAGAUAUUGGGACUAUGGGAUAUGGGGAAUGGAGUGGGGAUUUAGGGACUGGGAUGGGACUGGGGGUAUGGGGAGAUGGGAAUAUGGGGAAUGGAGUGGGAUUGGGGAAAUGGGGGUUGGGGAUAUGGGGAUUGGGGAUAUUGGGAUUGGGGAUAUGGGGAUUUGGGAAAUGGGGAUAUGGGGACUGGGAUUGGGACAUUGGGAUUGGGCUGGAAAUGGAGAUAUGGGGAUAUGGGGAGUGGGAUUGGGAUGGGGAGACUGGGAUGGAAAUGGGGACCGGCAUGGGAAUUGGGGCACAGAAUUGGGACUGGCACAGGGAUGGGGAUGGUCUGGGCUUCUGAAUGUCCCCAUCCCAAUGUCCCCAUCCUGCCACGUCCCUGAUUGUCUCCAUGUCCCCAUCCCAAUGUCCCCAUUCUGCCAUGUCCUCAAAUGUCCCCAUGUCCCCAUCCCAAUGUCCCCAUCCUGCCACGUCCCCGAUUGUCCCCAUGUCCCCAUCCCAAUGUCCCCAUCCUGCCACGUCCCCGAUUGUCCCCAUGUCCCCAUCCCAAUGUCCCCAUCCUGCCAUGUCCCCAAAUGUCCCCAUGUCCCCAUCCCAAUGUCCCCAUCCUGCCAUUGUGGCCAUCGUUGUGACCAUCUUCUGCUUCCAGACCAAGGUUGAUUUUACAUCGUGUCCGGGGCUGUUCUGCGUGCUGGGCAUCGUGGUCAUGGUGACCGGGAUCAUCACUGCCAUCGUCCUCUCCUUCAAAUACGUGAGUGGGAAGGAGAGAGGGGCUGUGAGGAGCCCCGGGUAUUCCUGGUUGGCUGUCCCCAGGGCUGGUGCAGGCAGGGGGUUUGGGUGGUCCCUUAGCUGGGAAGCAGGGUGGGGUACCAGCCCUGGAAGGCAGCCUGCCCCCAGGGAGAGGGCGUGACAGCAUCGGCAGCAGCUCCUCAGGAGCUGGGAGCGGGCGGGACGUGCCCUGCCUCACCUGCUGCCUGCCAGCAGCCCAGCUUACCCUGCUGUGUUCCCUUCCCGUGCAGGUGCCCUGGCUCCACAUGCUGUACG